rnacentral:rRNA from 1 species
GAUGAAGCCUUUCGGGGUGGAUUAGUGGCGAACGGGUGAGUAACACGUGGGCAAUCUGCCCUUCACUCUGGGACAAGCCCUGGAAACGGGGUCUAAUACCGGAUAAUACCUUCUUCCUCCUGGGAGUGGGUUGAAAGCUCCGGCGGUGAAGGAUGAGCCCGCGGCCUAUCAGCUUGUUGGUGGGGUAAUGGCUUACCAAGGCGACGACGGGUAGCCGGCCUGAGAGGGCGACCGGCCACACUGGGACUGAGACACGGCCCAGACUCCUACGGGAGGCAGCAGUGGGGAAUAUUGCACAAUGGGCGAAAGCCUGAUGCAGCGACGCCGCGUGAGGGAUGACGGCCUUCGGGUUGUAAACCUCUUCAGCAGGGAAGAAGCGAAA